UACGUAGGGGGCUAGCGUUGUCCGGAAUCAUUGGGCGUAAAGAGCGUGUAGGCGGUCCGGUAAGUCCGCUGUGAAAGUCGGGGGCUCAACCCUUGAAUGCCGGUUGAUACUGUCGGGCUAGAGUCCGGAAGAGGCGAGUGGAAUUCCCGGUGUAGCGGUGAAAUGCGCAGAUAUCGGGAGGAACACCAAUGGCGAAGGCAGCUCGCUGGGACGGUACUGACGCUGAGACGCGAAAGCGUGGGGAGCAAACAGG
rnacentral:rRNA from 1 species